rnacentral:rRNA from 1 species
UUUGAUCCUGGCUCAGAUUGAACGCUGGCGGCAUGCCUUACACAUGCAAGUCGAACGGCAGCGCGGGAGCAAUCCUGGCGGCGAGUGGCGAACGGGUGAGUAAUACAUCGGAACGUGCCCAAUCGUGGGGGAUAACGCAGCGAAAGCUGUGCUAAUACCGCAUACGAUCUACGGAUGAAAGCAGGGGAUCGCAAGACCUUGCGCGAAUGGAGCGGCCGAUGGCAGAUUAGGUAGUUGGUGAGGUAAAGGCUCACCAAGCCUUCGAUCUGUAGCUGGUCUGAGAGGACGACCAGCCACACUGGGACUGAGACACGGCCCAGACUCCUACGGGAGGCAGCAGUGGGGAAUUUUGGACAAUGGGCGAAAGCCUGAUCCAGCCACGCCGCGUGCAGGAUGAAGGCCUUCGGGUUGUAAACUGCUUUUGUACGGAACGAAACGGCCUUUUCUAAUAAAGAGGGCUAAUGACGGUACCGUAAGAAUAAGCACCGGCUAACUACGUGCCAGCAGCCGCGGUAAUACGUAGGGUGCAAGCGUUAAUCGGAAUUACUGGGCGUAAAGCGUGCGCAGGCGGUUAUGUAAGACAGUUGUGAAAUCCCCGGGCUCAACCUGGGAACUGCAUCUGUGACUGCAUAGCUAGAGUACGGUAGAGGGGGAUGGAAUUCCGCGUGUAGCAGUGAAAUGCGUAGAUAUGCGGAGGAACACCGAUGGCGAAGGCAAUCCCCUGGACCUGUACUGACGCUCAUGCACGAAAGCGUGGGGAGCAAACAGGAUUAGAUACCCUGGUAGUCCACGCCCUAAACGAUGUCAACUGGUUGUUGGGUCUUCACUGACUCAGUAACGAAGCUAACGCGUGAAGUUGACCGCCUGGGGAGUACGGCCGCAAGGUUGAAACUCAAGGGAAUUGACGGGGACCCGCACAAGCGGUGGAUGAUGUGGUUUAAUUCGAUGCAACGCGAAAAACCUUACCCACCUUUGACAUGUACGGAAUUCGCCAGAGAUGGCUUAGUGCUCGAAAGAGAACCGUAACACAGGUGCUGCAUGGCUGUCGUCAGCUCGUGUCGUGAGAUGUUGGGUUAAGUCCCGCAACGAGCGCAACCCUUGUCAUUAGUUGCUACAUUCAGUUGGGCACUCUAAUGAGACUGCCGGUGACAAACCGGAGGAAGGUGGGGAUGACGUCAAGUCCUCAUGGCCCUUAUAGGUGGGGCUACACACGUCAUACAAUGGCUGGUACAAAGGGUUGCCAACCCGCGAGGGGGAGCUAAUCCCAUAAAACCAGUCGUAGUCCGGAUCGCAGUCUGCAACUCGACUGCGUGAAGUCGGAAUCGCUAGUAAUCGUGGAUCAGAAUGUCACGGUGAAUACGUUCCCGGGUCUUGUACACACCGCCCGUCACACCAUGGGAGCGGGUUCUGCCAGAAGUAGUUAGCUUAACCGCAAGGAGGGCGAUUACCACGGCAGGGUUCGUGACUGGGGUGAAGUCGUAACAAGGUA